rnacentral:rRNA from 1 species
AGGACGAACGCUGGCGGCGUGCUUAACACAUGCAAGUCGAGCGGUAAGGCCUUUCGGGGUACACGAGCGGCGAACGGGUGAGUAACACGUGGGUGAUCUGCCCUGCACUUCAGGAUAAGCCUGGGAAACUGGGUCUAAUACCGGAUAUGACCUCCUAUCGCAUGGUGGGUGGUGGAAAGAUUUAUCGGUGCAGGAUGGGCCCGCGGCCUAUCAGCUUGUUGGUGGGGUAAUGGCCUACCAAGGCGACGACGGGUAGCCGACCUGAGAGGGUGACCGGCCACACUGGGACUGAGACACGGCCCAGACUCCUACGGGAGCAGCAGUGGGAAUAUUGCACAAUGGGACGAAAGCCUGAUGCAGCGACGCGCGUGAGGAUGACGGCUUCGGGUGUAACCUCGUUUCGGCAGGACGAAGACGCAAGGUAGACGGUACCUGCGAAGAAACGAAG